UUCAAGUUUUUAUCAUGACCUUGAUUUUUAGCAUGUUCUGUCUCCCCUUGAUCUGUCAGCUUAACAAUUAUAUGAGAAUCAAACCCAGGCAACAAUCGGAGCUUCAGUAAAAGAAAGCAAUGGCUACCACCAGGACAGCUGAUGAAGCCUCCCCUUCAUCGUCUUCCCCCUCCUCCAAACAUUGGACGUACGACGUGUUCUUGAGCUUCAGAGGCGAAGACACUCGACUUGGCUUCACAGACAACCUCUACAUGACAUUGAAAGAAGCUGGAAUCAACACCUUUCUUGAUGACACUGAACUAAGAAGAGGGGAAAAUAUAGCUGAGGAACUGAUGCGGGCAAUCCAACAGUCCAAAAUCUCUGUCAUCGUCUUCUCAAGGAAGUAUGCGGAAUCCAGAUGGUGUCUGGAGGAGCUGGUGAAGAUCAUGGAGUGUAGAAGAACACUCAGGCAAACAGUUCUCCCAAUAUUUUAUUAUGUUGAUCCUUCAGAUGUGAGGAAACAGACUGGUACUUUAGCAGAGGCAUUUGAUCAGAAACAUAAAGAUAAAGAUGAAGACAAGGUGAAGAGGUGGAGAGCUGCUCUUACUGAAGCUGCAAAUUUGUCUGGCUGGGAUCUUAGAAAUGCUGCUGAUGGGCAUGAAGGAUUGUUUGUCAGGAAGAUUAGAGAUGAGAUCACUUGGCAUCUUUUGAACAGAACACCCUUACAUGUAGCUGAGCACCAAGUUGGAAUAGAUUCUCGCAUGCAAGCCUCAAGUUUCCUUGCAAACGUUAGGGAAACUUCAAAGGAAAGCAAAGGUAAGGUCACUAUGCAAAAUAAAUUUCUUUCUGAUAUCUCAAGUCAAACCAAGACGGUAGUAGAUGAUAUUGAUAAAGGGAUCAAUGUGAUAAAAGAGAAGAUUGGAUGCAGAAGUGUACUUGUUGUAGUUGAUGAUGUAGAUCAACUGGAUCAGCUACAUGACCUAGGUAUAGAUCCCGAUUUAUUUGGUCCAGGAAGUAGAAUUAUUGUAACGACAAGAGAUAAACAAUUGCUAGAGCACCUUCAAGUGGAUACAAUAUAUGCAGCUAGAGAAAUGAAUGAAGAAGAAAGUCUCGAGUUCUUUAGUUUGCAUGCCUUUAAGACUCGUUUUCCUAAUGAAGAAUAUGCUGAUCUCUCAAGAACCGUUGUCGAUUACUGCGGAGGUUUGCCACUAGCAAUCAAAGUAUUGGGUUCUUUUCUGUUUAGAAGAAGCACAUCUUUUUGGGAAAGCACAAUUAAAAAAUUGGGAAUGAUACCUCAUUUGGAAAUUCAAGAAAAGCUCAAAUUAAGCUUUGAUGGUUUGAAUGACGAGACAGAGAAGGAUAUAUUCCUUGAUAUCGUGUUUCUUUAUUGGAAUGGACGUAAACCAUGUAAAACAAAUACUCGAAGGUUGUGGUUUUUUUCCAGAUUCAGGCAUUGAGGUCCUCAUUCAACGGUGCCUUGUAACUGUUAGUGAAACAAACGAGAUGGGAAUGCAUGAUUUGAUACGAGACAUGGGCAGAGCAAUUGUUUGGUCAAAAUCUCCUCAGGACCCUGGAAAACGUUGUAGACUGUGGGAUGAUGCAGAUGCUACAGAUGUAUUGAGAGAUAAAUCUGGAUCUGAAGCAAUUGAAGGACUCACUCUGAAAAUGUUGACAUCUGAUGCCAAAGCUAGUUUCAGUACAAAAGCAUUUUCAAAGAUGAAGAGGCUGAGAUUGCUCAAACUCAAUCACGACCUUUCGAGACUCCCAAAUCUUGAGAAUUUUGUUCUUGAAGACUCUAUAAAUUUGUCAGAGGUUCACCAGUCCAUUGGACAUCUUGAUAGACUUUCUUCGGUAAAUCUCAAAGGCUGCAUUAUGCUUAAGGAUCUUCCAAGGAGCUUCUAUCAGAUAAAAUCAAUGAGAACUCUUGUUCUUGCUGACUGUACAAGAUUUGAGAAGUUGGAUGACGACUUGGGGAUCAUUGAUCACGCUGGAUGCUGCCUGCAUGCAAUCCCAGAUUUACCAACAAGUUUGACGAGCCUAAUUGCUGAUAACUGCCCUGCAUUGGAAAGAUUGCCAGGUCUUUCAAAACUGUCCUUAAAGAAACUGUAUAUAAGUGAUUCUACCAAACUGACUGAGAUUUGGGGAUUUGAUAAGGUCCUAUACUCUUUGUUGAACUCCUUGGAAGUCCUUCGAAUGGAAGGGUGCACUACUCUGACUACGACUCUCAGGGACAGCCUCCUACAGAAAUGGAAUCACAUUGGAGCAGCUGAUGGCAUUUUUCUCCCUGGAAAUGAUAUUCCUGAGUGGUUCGCGGUUGUAUGUGGGGGUGACACAGGCUUCUUUUUAGUGCCUCCACUUACUGGUAGAGAUGUAAUCGCAUUUACUCUCUGCGUUGCUUAUUCUCCAGCAUUUGACAGAUUGGCAACAAGCGCAACAUCUCUUUCAUUCGAUGGCUUUUUUGUUACUAAUCAUACCAAACAAACUCGUUUCUACCACCCUUCAACAUCUUCAUUCUUUGUAACUCGUGGUGUGUACUAUCUCUGGCUGGGUCAUAUACCAAACAAUGAGCUCAGUUUGGAGGCAGGUGACCUAUUUGAGGUUUUUGUACAAGUCGGAUCGGCUUUUCUCAGUGUGUCACCUGUGGAGGUGAAUAAAAUAGGGCUCAAGCUGGUAUGGAGCGACAAUCGGACAGAUUUCAGGGGACUUCAUGAUGAUCAACAUAGGCCGUGUCCUCUCCCAUAUGUUCUCUGCCGUUCGGUCAAUGAAAUUGAUUCAUUGUGA